rnacentral:rRNA from 1 species
ACUCCUACGGGAGGCAGCAGUGGGGAAUAUUGGACAAUGGGCGAAAGCCUGAUCCAGCAAUGCCGCGUGUGUGAAGAAGGCCUGCGGGUUGUAAAGCACUUUCAGUAGGGAGGAAGGCCUUAAUGAUAAUACCAUUGAGGAUUGACGUUACCUACAGAAGAAGCACCGGCUAACUCUGUGCCAGCAGCCGCGGUAAUACAGAGGGUGCGAGCGUUAAUCGGAAUUACUGGGCGUAAAGCGUGCGUAGGUGGUUAGAUAAGUCAGAUGUGAAAGCCCGGGCUUAACCUGGGAAUUGCGUUUGAAACUGUCUGACUAGAGUAUAGGAGAGGGAAGUGGAAUUUCCGGUGUAGCGGUGAAAUGCGUAGAUAUCGGAAGGAACACCAGUGGCGAAGGCGGCUUCCUGGACUAUAACUGACACUGAGGCACGAAAGCGUGGGGAGCGAACAGGAUUAGAUACCCUGUAGGCUCUG